rnacentral:rRNA from 1 species
UACGGGGGGGGCAAGCGUUGUUCGGAAUUACUGGGCGUAAAGGGCGCGUAGGCGGCCUUCUAAGUCAGACGUGAAAUCCCUCGGCUCAACCGAGGAACUGCGUCUGAUACUGGAAGGCUUGAAUCCGGGAGAGGGAUGUGGAAUUCCAGGUGUAGCGGUGAAAUGCGUAGAUAUCUGGAGGAACACCGGUGGCGAAGGCGGCAUCCUGGACCGGUAUUGACGCUGAGGCGCGAAAAGCUAGGGGAGCAAACGGGG